rnacentral:lncRNA from 1 species
AGUUGAUUGAUGAAAAAUAAUACCAUGGAUUUGAUUAUCUUGUCAUGGAGAGAGAUGUGGUGUGGACACUAUCAGCUUUGGUUCCACUGAAGUUCUAUCAGAUUUCGCUUCAAAAAUUUUGGACCUUUGUUACUAGGUACAUAAACAUCUGAGGUGUUUAUUGGAGCUCUUUGCCUAGAACUGAUAAUUGGAUUCAUGGUAUUCUGGAGAACAAGGAAACAGGCUGAGGAAGAAUAAGAGACUUGCUUGAGGAAGAAAACUGAAGCCCAGAAAGCUUAAUAUAUUACCCAAAGAGUUAGUCCACAUUGAACUGGGAGUUAAUCCUUGUCUGUCUGGCUGGAAAGCUUUUGCUCUGUAUCUUGGAUGAAUAAACUAAACCUUAGGGAAUCUUCCUAGAAGAAACCAUAUAACGCCUCCUGUACGAGAAGUUAAAUUACAACACAAAGAUUGCUUGGUGAGCAUGUGAUCAAAACAGGGCAAGAUGAAGACCUUUAGAGGCCACAAGCAUUUUAGUGUGCCUCCCAACUUCCCUUAUAUUAUUCAAAAU